UCAGGCCUAACACAUGCAAGUCGAACGGCAGCACGGACUUCGGUCUGGUGGCGAGUGGCGAACGGGUGAGUAAUGUAUCGGAACGUGCCUAGUAGCGGGGGAUAACUACUCGAAAGAGUAGCUAAUACCGCAUACGCCCUACGGGGGAAAGGGGGGGAUCGCAAGACCUCUCACUAUUAGAGCGGCCGAUAUCGGAUUAGCUAGUUGGUGAGGUAAAGGCUCACCAAGGCGACGAUCCGUAGCUGGUUUGAGAGGACGACCAGCCACACUGGGACUGAGACACGGCCCAGACUCCUACGGGAGGCAGCAGUGGGGAAUUUUGGACAAUGGGGGCAACCCUGAUCCAGCCAUUCCGCGUGUGCGAUGAAGGCCUUCGGGUUGUAAAGCAAUGUGGCAGGAAAGAAAUCGCACGGGAUAAUACCUCGUG
rnacentral:rRNA from 1 species